GUGGGGAAUAUUGGGCAAUGGGGGAAACCCUGACCCAGCGACGCCGCGUGAGGGAAGAAGGCCUUAGGGUCGUAAACCUCUGUUGUGUGGGAAGAAGAGCGUGACGGUACCACACGAGGAAGUCCCGGCUAACUACGUGCCAGCAGCCGCGGUAAUACGUAGGGGACGAGCGUUGUCCGGAUUUACUGGGCGUAAAGGGCGCGUAGGCGGUCAUUUAAGUCAGCUGUGAAAUGGUUUGGCUUAACCGGAUCAUGCGGUUGAAACUGGAUGACUGGAGUGCUGGAGAGGCAAGUGGAAUUCCCAGUGUAGCGGUGAAAUGCGUAGAUAUUGGGAAGAACACCGGUGGCGAAGGCGACUUGCUGGCCAGUAACUGACGCUGAGGCGCGAAAGCCAGGGGAGCAAACGGGAUUAGAUACCCUAGUAGUCC
rnacentral:rRNA from 1 species